CGCCUACAUGAAGUCGGAAUCGCUAGUAAUCGCGAAUCAGCAUGUCGCGGUGAAUACGUUCCCGGGCCUUGUACACACCGCCCGUCACACCAUGAGAGUUUGUAACACCCAAAGCCGGUGGGGUAACCGCAAGGAGCCAGCCGUCUAAGGUGGGACAGAUGAUUGGGGUGAAGUCGUAACAAGGUAGCCGUAGGAGAACCUGCGGCUGGAUCACCUCCUUUCUAAGGAA
rnacentral:rRNA from 1 species